rnacentral:lncRNA from 1 species
CAGGUAAUUAUGUCCCUUCAUAACUUUACAUGUACAAUGUAUAUAUGAUAUGCAAGAGUGGGCAUAAUCCAUCUGUGUCCCAUGGACACGUUCCCCAUUUGUUUAAGUAGGCAACUGGGAAAAUUAUUUUGCUCAUGAAGCAGAUUGAAAGUAAAAUAGUUAUUACCCAUAAUAUAAAAAUAAGGCUAUGUGGUAUAAUUGCAAAUGAGACAACUUAUAUAAUCCACAAAACUUCAAAUAAAGUAGUUUUAUCCAAUUCAACGAAACCAUACUACCUUCAACAAUGAAAAAAACUCAAACUGUAUAGUCAGUUAUAAAAGUCCCCA